GAUUGGACAGUGCUGGGCCCUGCUGCUAAGCUAUUGGUCCUAAAGCACGCUUUUCAACACCCUCUUGACUUUCCGGCGAUCUGAUUAAUCGGCAGGAAUGUCCAUCAAAGGAAACUGAACCCUCAAAGGCAGCAGAGCCCAUCAUUCCCGCAAGGAAGCAGCGGCUAAGAAUCAAGGGGUGGGGCCUAUGGCUUGCGGCUGUAAAACUGCCCUCUGUUUUGACUAAAAGGACGUCAAUCUCCCCUAAAGGUUUGCCGCGCUCUCUAACUGGAGGCCGCGAGCAUGCGCAGCACGCAAGGCUAGCUGGGAGUGGUAGUCCGCUCCUGUGUACUAUAAACGUCUUACCAAAUACAAGGGUGAGGAAGAAGAGAGCGCUCUCUUCAGACGUCUCCUUUCCCCCGUGGGCCCGUUCAUGGCCUCCCGCACUAAAGUCACGAGAGGAAUGCGGUGACGCAGCGCUGCUCGUCUGUGACGCUAGCGGCGGAGGCCGGACUCGGGCUCCAGGCCCAGAAAAGCAGCAAAACAAGACAAGCCACAAGCGAUGCCUUGGCUGACUCAGGACCAGCAGCAUGGACUGAUGACCCCUGCCCUGGGGCCAACCAAUCAGAGACCAGGACCCGGAAAGUACACACCUGGAAAGCUGAUGACUGUUCUAUUGGGAUCCUCCCCUGAGACUUCCAGGUAAACACCCUCAAGAUGAGGACGGGGGGGCAGUAGGCAACUCUCUAUGGAGCACUACUGUGUCUUCCCCCACCCGCUUCCCUCAGGCUCCUUUUCCUUGCCUCUCUCUUUCUCCUAAGCUCCAAGGGCCCUUUUGGCUUUGCAACUUGUUCCCUGAGCGCAUGCAGCUCACUUCUUCGGGCUCACUUGUUCAACAUCUGUGACUUGCUAAAUAAACUUUUCCUUGUAUUUGAA